AAAAACGAAUCCCCUGCGAUUUCACUCACAUUCAGCUCGCUUCUCCGCAGCAGAAUCAUCAAUCGCGCGCUCCGGUAAUCGCUCCUCUCUCACCGGACUUCUCUCUCUCUCUAUCGUCCGUCGCCGUCAAUCUCACUCCCUCGGCUGCUUCGAGUGUGCAGGGUUGUGGAGAUUGAAUGAUGUCUGCGAACAAAUCAAAUUCCCUCAAGGAAUAUCUUAAACGCUAUGAAAGUAACACUGAAGAGGACAAGAAAAAGAAGAAGAAAAAGAAGAAGACAACAGUAGCAACGAAACCGAAUGCUCUAGGUGUUCUAGUCGUGGAUCAAGAUCCUGUGUGGCAGAAACCAAUAAUUAUUGAAGAGGAUAAUGCUGAUAACUCGACCGAUGAGGAGCCCCAAGUUGAUGAAGAUAUUGAGGUUAAGCGAAUGAGGAGGCUCGAAGAACUAAAAGCCAAGCGCCCAUAUAAUUCCAUAAGUGAAGAUGGAAGUGGUUGGGUUUCACUCUCUCCAAACCGUGCAAAUUCUAGCACGGUGAACUCUGAUAUAUCUCCACCUCGUAGAAGAAGGGCUCGGAAUGAUACGCCUUCUCCACGCAAUGAGUUGGAGCCUCCAGUAUCUGGUGAAGAAGGUAACGAUAUUUCACCUGUAUGGAGGAGGCAGGGCCAACAUCAUACCUCGCUUGAACAUGAUGAAAAGCCCACAAGCUCUGCUUACCCAAGUUCCGACUCAUCUCCACCACGCAAGCAGAAGGUUUAUAGAGACUCACCCUUACAAGGAGCUAACUCAGGGCAUUUGGAUUCUGCACAAGAAGAUAUUGAUCUAUCACCUCCACGACAGCGAAGGAAGCGUUACCAUACUCCCUCACCUGAACCUGAUGAAAAACAAACUGUACGAUCUGUUUCCCCACAAUCUGAUAUUUCACCUCCUCGUAGAUCAGAUAGGCAUACGUCUAAAGCAAGUUUAGGGGGCAACCACAAGGCUGCAGGGUUGUCUGACCUUUCUCCUCCUCGACGCAGAACUUCUGAUUAUGCAGAUGAUGCUCAUAUAUCACGUGGAUCUGAUCUUUCACCUCCAAGGAAACAGAGGAAGGAUGUGAGGGGGAAUCAAUCACUUUCAGAUCAGCAUUCGAGGAAUCGUGUUGUUACUGAUGCUUCACGUGAAUCUUUGCCGUCGGAUGUUUCUCCACGUCGGGAAAAGCAAAAGCCGCUGCCUGUUUCAGUCUCCUUUAAACAGCCACGCAAAACUGGUUUGAUUACUCAGCAAGAGUUUGGGGAAGAAAUGUCUAAAACUAAUAAAGAGGACUGGACGAGGUUUAAAGAGAUGAAUCCUUCGGCAAGUAGUAAUGCGGAGCCUGUAUAUCGUGACAGGAUUAAAGGGGAUCGCAUUUCAAAAGAGGAAUUCUUAAAAUCACGAGGAAAAAUAGAAGAAAAGCCCAAGGAGAUAAAGUUGGAAUGGGGCAAGGGCUUAGCUCAGAAACGGGAAGCAGAAGCUGAACUUAUGGAAUUAGAACUCGAGAAGGAUAGACCAUUUGCACGGUCAAGGAAUGAUGCUGAGCUCGACUCAAUGUUGAGGGAUAGAGUGAGAUGGGGUGAUCCUAUGGCACAUUUGGUGAAGAAAAAGAAAUCCGAAAUGGCUCUUCUUGAUCUAGGAGACAGUGAGAAAAUGAGGGAAUCAGGGUUCAUUAUUCCUCAGGACAUUCCAGCACACAGCUGGCUAAAAAGAGGAUUGGAUGCUGCCCCUAAUCGAUACGGUAUAAGACCAGGAAGACAUUGGGAUGGAGUCGAUCGUAGUAAUGGAUUCGAGAAGCAAAUGUUCAAGAGGAUGAACGAGAAACGGGCUACAGAAAGGGAAGCAUAUCUUUGGUCUGUGUCUGAUAUGUAACGUGAAAGGGUGUGCUUAAAUGGAAGAUAUUUCCUGCAGUGACAUAUCAGAUCUUUUCGAGUUUUCUUACAUGACAUGUCUUCUUCGGACAAGGGGAAGAAAUGAUGACUAUGAGAGCUAACCUUCAACACAAAGGUAUGUGUAAAUGCUAAAUUGGUCGACUUUAUUUAACUUCCAUGGCUCACCAAGGUGCAUAGUUAGGUAUUCCAUAUAAAGGUCUAUGUAGGUAGAGCCUUCUAAUUCAGAAGUGUAUGGGUGAGUUUUGUCAGAUUUUAAGUUUUUAACUGUACCUGUUCUUCCAAGUUUACUGGUAAUGUGUUGAUAUCAAUUUGGAUUGGAGAGAAAUUUUAUAUAAAUGACACAUCAAUUGAACUA